CCUGGGGUGUCACACGUCAGAUUGCAAAUCUGAAGAAGUAGGCUAACGCCUACCGGGACUUU
rnacentral:tRNA from 1 species